CAAGACAACUUUACGGAGUUGACGAUUGACGGAGCGAAGCGACGUCAAAGCGUUCAUUAAAGUCGAGUUGGCUUAGGGAUACGUUCGUUGGGUAGGGGAGCGUUCUGUAAGCCUGUGAAGGUGGCCUGUGAGGGUUGCUGGAGGUAUCAGAAGUGCGAAUGCUGACAUAAGUAACGAUAAAGCGGGUGAAAAGCCCGCUCGCCGGAAGACCAAGGGUUCCUGUCCAACGUUAAUCGGGGCAGGGUGAGUCGACCCCUAAGGCGAGGCCGAAAGGCGUAGUCGAUGGGAAACGGGUUAAUAUUCCCGUACUUGGUGUUACUGCGAAGGGGGGACGGAGAAGGCUAUGUUGGCCGGGCGACGGUUGUCCCGGUUUAAGCGUGUAGGCUGGUUUUCCAGGCAAAUCCGGAAAAUCAAGGCUGAGGCGUGACGACGAGGCACUACGGUGCUGAAGCAACAAAUGCCCUGCUUCCAGGAAAAGCCUCUAAGCAUCAGGUAACACGAAAUCGUACCCCAAACCGACACAGGUGGUCAGGUAGAGAAUACCAAGGCGCUUGAGAGAACUCGGGUGAAGGAACUAGGCAAAAUGGUGCCGUAACUUCGGGAGAAGGCACGCUGACACGUAGGUGAAGUGAUUUACUCAUGGAGCUGAAGUCAGUCGAAGAUACCAGCUGGCUGCAACUGUUUAUUAAAAACACAGCACUGUGCAAACACGAAAGUGGACGUAUACGGUGUGACGCCUGCCCGGUGCCGGAAGGUUAAUUGAUGGGGUCAGCGCAAGCGAAGCUCCUGAUCGAAGCCCCGGUAAACGGCGGCCGUAACUAUAACGGUCCUAAGGUAGCGAAAUUCCUUGUCGGGUAAGUUCCGACCUGCACGAAUGGCGUAAUGAUGGCCAGGCUGUCUCCACCCGAGACUCAGUGAAAUUGAACUCGCUGUGAAGAUGCAGUGUACCCGCGGCAAGACGGAAAGACCCCGUGAACCUUUACUAUAGCUUGACACUGAACAUUGAGCCUUGAUGUGUAGGAUAGGUGGGAGGCUUUGAAGUGUGGACGCCAGUCUGCAUGGAGCCGACCUUGAAAUACCACCCUUUAAUGUUU
rnacentral:rRNA from 1 species